GACGAACGCUGGCGGCGUGCUUAACACAUGCAAGUCGAACGGAAAGGCCCUGCUUUUGUGGGGUGCUCGAGUGGCGAACGGGUGAGUAACACGUGAGUAACCUGCCCUUGACUUUGGGAUAACUUCAGGAAACUGGGGCUAAUACCGGAUAGGAGCUCCUGCUGCAUGGUGGGGGUUGGAAAGUUUCGGCGGUUGGGGAUGGACUCGCGGGUUAUCAGCUUGUUGGUGGGGUAGUGGCUUACCAAGGCUUUGACGGGUAGCCGGCCUGAGAGGGUGACCGGCCACAUUGGGACUGAGAUACGGCCCGGAAUCCUACGGGAGGAAGGAGUGGGGAAUAUUGCACAAUGGGCGGAAGCCUGAGGCAGCAACGCCGCGUGCGGGAUGACGGCCUUCGGGUUGUAAGCCGCUUUCGCCUGUGACGAAGCGUGAGUGACGGUAAUGGGUAAAGAAGCACCGGCUAACUACGUG
rnacentral:rRNA from 1 species